rnacentral:rRNA from 1 species
GAUGAACGCUGGCGGCGUGCCUAAUACAUGCAAGUCGAGCGAACUUUUGGGAGUUUGCUCCCAAAAGUUAGCGGCGGACGGGUGAGUAACACGUGGGUAACCUGCCUGUAAGACUGGGAUAACUUCGGGAAACCGGAGCUAAUACCGGAUAACAUUGAAGACCACAUGGCCUUCAAUUAAAAGGUGGCUUUUAGCUACCACUUACAGAUGGACCCGCGGGGCAUUAGCAAGUUGGUGAGGUAACGGCCUACCAAGGCGACGAUGAGUAGCCGAACUGUGAGGGUGAUCCGCCACCCUGGGACCGAGACCAGGUCCCAGAUCCCUAGGGAGGGAGGCGUGGGGAAUUCUGCCCAAAGGGAGAAAAGUUGAACGAGCCAUCGCCGCUGUGGGGAGGAGGGCUUCCGAUUCGAAAAGCUCUUUUGUUGGGAAAGAACGCAGUAAGUUCAAAUAGUGCGGUACCUAGGUGGUCCCUAACCAGAAAGCCGCGGCAAAUCGCG